CCUCAGUCUGUCAGGGCCACGGCAUCAUCUUCCCCGUAGCAUGAGUGAACCGCACGGGGAUCUGUGAAAACGCAUUACUGAAAAGACAGAGGAAAUUCUCCAGAUGACUUAGGCCAGGCAUCUGUAUAGCCUUCAACUCUACAAAAAUGACUGUCUCCUCGCAAUGGAGCUUGUGUAUUAGUUAUGGCUGCAUAGUCAAAAAGUGAUACAAGGCAGAGAGCAACUGUGCCACAGCAGCUACAUGGCGCUUGCUGACAAGAAACAGUCCAGAUGGACUAUGACAGAAACUUUUGAUGAGUAAGAUGUGUCCUACGUGGUGACUUCCUGCAGAAUGUCUUCGGCCUGAGCAGACCACAGCGUCUCAAUUGUUUCUCAGAACUCAUCCACCAUCUAAAGACAAACCCACCCAUGGAAAGUCAGCAUGCCAUAGCCAGGGGAGGAUGCCCGGUGUGACUGAGACCAUAGCAUUCAUCACUCCUUGUGCUGUGAUUUGAUCAUGUUCCCAAUGGCACACAUCCACAGGGUACCAGGUCAGUGAGCCAGCAGCUUACUGUGACACAGAAAGAGAGGUCUUGGAUCUAGAGUACAGACUUCCCAAAAUAGAUAAAAGAACGCUCUGUGAACUCAGCUGAAACAUUCAUGUCAUGGCCGUGGAAAUCCUGAAGAACACUCAUCACCAGGCAAACUCAAAAGGGCUCGUUUGUCAACAAAUUCAGAACAAGGAAGUUGAAGGAAAAAGAAAAAGAUAUGUAUCACACAUACAUAUGAAUGUAGUCUUCUCUGGUGCAGCUUAUGGACAUGACAGCAAGUCUUCAGGCACAAUAAGAAGAAAGGAAUUUAUUUAUAACUUAUAAACAAGACUCUCUGCCUAUCAAACAGCUAGUCUCAAGAGAAUAAUUGCUUUUUUUGAGUAUGGAGUGGAACACUUAACUUGGAAAUUAUUCUUUACAAAUAUUAAUUGAAUGGUCCACAAAGGUCUGUUUGAUAGCAAAGCAAUUAAAACUCAAGUGGAUGGAACUGGCUGCUGUGGUGUCAUGGAAACCUAGCCAUGGAAACCUGAUAGAAAUAUCAGGCUACGAAAGGAGAAGUGUUCAAGAAAUCACCAUGGACAGACUGUUGCCAAGAGCGUUGUUUGGAAAACCAUGCUUACAAAUCUGCAGCUUUGCUAUGCUGAAAACUAACUGGGGAUUCAGAAAAUAGUGGCACAUUGAUCUUAGGGAACUGAAUCGUUCAGAUCGAAGGGCUGAGAGGCUGAAGCCGCCUGUGAACCUGAUGCACCUCCAGCUCCACUCUCAACAAACCCCAUCAGUUUUCGGUCACAAAAGUGUUCCCAGUCUACGUCUUAUAAUGUGUCCCUCUAAGCUAUAACCUCCUAUCUCCAAAAGUUUCUCUCAAUACAUUUUCAUGGCAAGCUAUUUUUUUUCCAAGCACUCACCUUGCUUUAUGUUCAUUUGUGUCCUUCCUUCCUUCCGUCCUUCCGUCCUUCCUUCCUUCCUUCCUUCCUUCCUUCCUUCCUUCCUUCCUUCCUUCCUUUAUUAACUCAUUUACAGCUACAUUCAAUAAAUAUUUACUGGGAGCCUGUUCUGGUCCAGAUAUUGUUCCAGUCACUGGUUAUACAGUAGUGAAAAAUGGCAGGCGUUCACUGCCAUGGAGCAGACAUUUGAAUGGACACAGACAAGGGAAUAAAUAGCAAUCAAGAACAGUGCCUACUGUCCGAUGGGAAGACAGACAUGCAAUCUAUUAUCCCUCAGUGCCCUGAGCUAACAUCACACAAAUCAGACCAGGUCAGUGUCUGCUAAAAACCUCUCAAUGGCUUCCUGAGGCAAGCAGAGUAAAAUACAACUAACAAACAUGACCUACCCACAUCGACCCACUCAAGGUGUUACUUUGGUUGGCACACAUUAUGUGAACAAACAGGGCAUCAGAUCUGCGUCUUGAGAAUCAAGGGGAUUCUUCAAAGAACGAGGACUUUCCCCAGUCCCUUCUUCUUUAUCAUCUCCAGUUUCCUUUGCACGAGUAUUUUUUUUUUCUCGAGUGCACUCCAUAUUUUUUAAAAGGCCAGUUUCCCUUUGAUUACCAGACCAUUUCCUGGGAAGCUGAACUUGACAAGCUAUCUGACUUCAGCGCUCUCAUCCAUAAAGCGGGGAUGGCUGUGUUUUCCCUCCGCCACCUGACUCAAAGGACCUGAUUCUCUGCUCCCAAAUGAACAUUUGAUUCCUUCUUCCCUUUAAGCAAACAGACACGCUUCCUCCUUGAUUGCAGAUGAACUUACUGACAGCAGAAUGAGAGAAGUCCCUGAAAUAAGAGCAUGGUUCUUCAGUUCGCAGCAAGAUAACAGCGGAGGCACGAAACUUCUACCGCCUGGGAGACUGGUAACCUGUCACAGCAUCUCAGCCGACACCAAAGUCUUCUCUUCAGCAGGUAUUUUUGUGCAUUUAACCUUCACUGGGCUGGUGAUUACGCAACAUGUUUGUUCCCUAAGCACACAUUGUUCUCACAGGGACAGGACCAUCGCUAAAAAUCCCGCUCACAGCCUUCCUAUUCAUAAGUACCAGGCAAUGUCACAGAAAGACCUUCCUGGCUGAGGCGCUGACCAGUUCCUGAGGUGCCUAUGAAUCCUAGAAGGGGUGAAAACAUGGUUGAACCAAGGAAAGGCCAUAAAGACCAAGAAUGGAGAGGAACCCAGUGACCAUCACAGCCCUCUGUUCCUUGCCAGCAUCCACCUGGCCCUUUCCAGAGCAAGCCUGAACUCUGACUUGGCCCUGUUCGAAGAAGAUGAAGCAGAUUAGAACAGUAGUAGGCAGCUGGUCUUAGACUGCUCCAGGCCAAAGUUUUCCUAUCAGACCUCUUCCCGUGGAUUAUACCCUCAUGAUACAACAAAUUA